UUUCUUAAAGUUAUAAUUUUAAGUAUUUUCUGCUCAAUGUUUAUUAUUAAUAGCCGCAGAAUAACUGUGCUAAGGUAGCAUAAUCAUUAGUUUUUUAAUUAAAAACUAGAAUGAACGAAAUAACAAUUCAACAACUUUUUUAAUUUUAAUUAUAAAAAUUUUAUUAAAUAUAAAAAUAUAUUUAUAAAUUAGAGAGACGACAAGACCCUAUCAAACUUAACUUUAGUUUAGCUGGGGCAGCUUAUUAAUAACUAUUUUAAUUUAAAUAUUUAAAUAAAAGAUCCAAUAAUAUUGAUUUAAUGAGCAAGUUACUGUAGGGAUAACAGCGUUAUAUUUUUUAGAAGUUCUUAUUUAAAAAAAAGAUUACGACCUCGAUGUUGAAUUAUUUAACUUUAAAAAGCAAAAUUUUUAAAAGUAGGUCUGUUCGACCUUUAAAUUUUUACA
rnacentral:rRNA from 1 species